CCGGCAUUGGGUGUGACAGACAGAGCGACAGUCUGUAAACAAAAUAAACAAACAUAAAACUAAAUAACACUUAAACUAAACAGCUGUUAAUAACAAAAACAAACAGAGAACAUAUAUAUCACAGAAUGUUAACGAAUUCCCCUAUGGGAGCCCGGGAGCGUUUCCCUGUAGAAAUCCGGUAGUAUAAGCUGAACGGGAUCGUCGUUGUCAAUUAAUUGAUUCAAAAUACCUAUUGGAGACAGUGUAUUCUCAUGAAGAGCCAAAUUAUCAGCAAAUUUUCUCUGGAGCAGUAAGGCGUAUUUGCAGAGUGGUACCACAGCAGAUUGUCC